rnacentral:rRNA from 1 species
GACGAACGCUGACGGUGUACUUAAUACAUGCAAGUCGAACGUGCAAUGCAGAGGUGGCAACACUUUUGCAAAGCAAGUGGCGAACGGGUGAGUAACGCGUGGGUAAUCUGCCUUGGAGAUUGGGAUAACCUUUCGAAAGAAAGGCUAAUACCAAAUAUUCUAUAUUUUUGUAUGGAAAUAUAGGAAAAGUAGCCGCAAGGCCUCUGCUCUGAGAUGAGCCCGCGUCCUAUUAGCUAGUUGGUAAGGUAAUGGCUUACCAAGGCUUUGAUGGGUAGCCGGCCUGAGAGGGUGACCGGCCACACUGGGACUGAGAUACGGCCCAGACUCCUACGGGAGGCAGCAGUAGGGAAUAUUGCGCAAUGGGCGAAAGCCUGACGCAGUGACACCGUGUGAAGGAUGAAGAUCUUCGGAUUGUAAACUUCUGUCAAUUGAGGACGAAGGUGGUAGAGUUAAUAGCUCAAACACUGACGGUACUUAAUAAGGAAGUCUCGGCUAACUCCGUGCCAGCAGCCGCGGUAAUACGGGGGAGGCAAGCGUUGUCCGGAAUUAUUGGGCGUAAAGAGCGCGUAAGCGGUUUUUUAAGUCGUAUGUGAAAACUUCAGGCUUAACUUGAAGAUUGCAUGCGAAACUGGAAAACUUGAGUACAGUAGGGGAAAGUGGAAUUCCUGGUGUAGCGGUGAAAUGCGCAGAUAUCAGGAAGAACACCGAUAGCGAAGGCAGCUUUCUGGGCUGUUACUGACGCUGAGGCGCGAAAGCUAGGGGAGCAAACAGGAUUAGAUACCCUGGUAGUCCUAGCUGUAAACGAUGGGCACUAGGUGUGGGAAGUUAUCGACGCUUUCCGUGCCGGAGUUAACGCAUUAAGUGUCCCGCCUGGGGAGUACGGCCGCAAGGCUA